rnacentral:lncRNA from 1 species
CCUGGCUCCAGGCUGUGGACAGAGCAGGGGGAAAAUAAAGCCUCCUCCAAUGUCCUGGCUGUAAAUGGAGGCCGGCCAGCUAUGGCAUUCCGAGACAUAAUUCCAUUUUGGCCUCCGGUCACGACUGAGACUUUAGUGAUGCUGUGACUCUCCAGGACAAGAAUCAUCCUGGGAGCUGAAAACAUCCUGGGAGGAACAAACAUCUACUCAGUUCCUCUUUGUUCUUGUUUUGUUACAUCUUAUUUAGGAAGGAUGUACUGAACUCUCUGCAAGUCAUUUGUUACAUUUGUUUCUCCUGAUGUACUGAG